rnacentral:rRNA from 1 species
AUGACGGAGGCUCUCAGUGAUAAAUAUUUGUGUUUGCCAGCAAAUGUGGGAAUAGAUAAAUCAGACUGUUACCAAUUUCUGAUUGAACGUAUUGUUAAGAAAAUUAGUUGCUGGAAGAAGAAAUUACUAUCUGUCGGUGGAAAGGAGAACCUGUUCAAGGCUGUGAUCCAAGCCAUACCCACCUAUGCAAUGUGGGUCUUUAAAAUUCCUGAGAAAAUUUGUAAAGAAAUUGACGUGAUAGCGCAUUUUUGGGGAGACGACAAGAAUCAGAACAGGAUGCAUUGUAUGUCCUGGAAAAUGUGCGUACCUAAAAAUCAAGGAGGAAUGGAAUUCUGUAAUAUUCACUCUUUCAACUUGGCCUUGCUAGCUAAACAGGCGUGGUGUCUUCUGGAUAAGCCCGAUUCCCUGUGUGCUUCCCGAUUCCUUGUGUGCUUCUAUCCUAAGGGCUAA